UCUUCUGAAUAUUCAUGGAGAAGCUCUGCUGCCUUCCGAGCUUGACUCCUGGGGUAGGAGUUUGGGGGGCUGGAGGGUGAGAGGUGCCGGCAGCGGCGCAGAGCAGAGCAGCUGCUUGUGCAUUCGCCGCAUGCCUGACUGCAGAGCCAAGUUGCAUAAGGAGAAGGGAGAGGAGGGUUGCACGGAGAGGGGAAAUUUCCAAGGGAAGAGAGAUCUGCGGCAGUCUCUGCACCUCGGGUGAUGAAGAGAGGAACCUGCAGGCAUAAAUGGCCUGGAGAUGGCUGAAAUCUUUCCCCAGGAGAGUGGGACCGUGGGGUUAUUUUCCACCUGCCUCCCCUACCCGGUUCUGUAAGCCUGGCUCAAAGUAGACAAGUCGAGUUGGAGCUGAAGAAGGGAGGCGAUGCCACACCUCCCGAGGACACUGGGGACAUCUGGUUUUGCUGAGCUCGGCAUCUUCCCACCGGCGGACCGAAGGCAUCAGACAGACGCUCAUCUGCCCUGAAGUGCGGCUCCGCAACAGCUACCAGGAGGAUUCUGUCUCUCUGUCUCUCUGUCUCUCUUUCUCUCUCUCUCCAGUCCAAACCAUUACCAAGACCUGACUUCCACCAUCUGGGAAUCUAAAACCCCUUUUAUGUCCCUUCUCCUCUUUUUUUUUUUUCCUACGAUGACUCACCAUUAUUUUUAACUUUGAAGAGAGAGGAAAUUAUGGGGAUCUUGGAAGCCUGUAUUUCUCUCUAGGAUUUCCCCAGGGUCAGAUAAUCGGUGUUACUAAGAGACACUAAGAUUUGGCUUCUCCAGGUAAUGUGAUUUGUUUUCUGUGUGCCAUGGUGGUUUGCAGAGGAUGAUGACAGGAGCCGGGACACCAGCGGUCGAGGAGGGGGACUGCAGCGGUCCGCGGGGCAGCUUCCAUCGGCGGCUCCAAGCCAAGCCGGCCAGGCUGGCUGCAGGCAGGGAGGGCAGCAUGUCACCGUGCUGGGGCGAGAGGAGUGGGAAGGUGUCCAGCUUAACCCCAGAGCCCUUUCGGAGGGUUUAGCUUGCCUGAGCUUGCACGGCUCCGUGUGGUUAACCCUUAGCUGCAUGCCUGCAAAGCAGCCGAGCCUGGGCUGCCCCCUCCUUGGCUCCUCUCUCAGCACAGGGUUUAGUUUUCCUUCCUGCCUUUCCCAUCCCUUCCCUCCCCUCCUUUCUUUUUAUUUCUC